rnacentral:rRNA from 1 species
AGAAUGAACGCUGGCGGCAUGCCUAACACAUGCAAGUCGAACGAAGCCUUCGGGUUUAGUGGCGCACGGGUGCGUAACGCGUGGGAAUCUACCCCUUGGUUCGGAAUAACAGUUGGAAACGACUGCUAAUACCGGAUGAUGACGUAAGUCCAAAGAUUUAUCGCCGAGGGAUGAGCCCGCGUAGGAUUAGGUAGUUGGUGUGGUAAAGGCGCACCAAGCCGACGAUCCUUAGCUGGUCUGAGAGGAUGAUCAGCCACACUGGGACUGAGACACGGCCCAGACUCCUACGGGAGGCAGCAGUGGGGAAUUUCCGCAAUGGGCGAAAGCCUGACGGAGCAAGACCGCGUGAGGGAGGAAGGCUCUUGGGUUGUAAACCUCUUUUCUUGGGGAAGAACAAAUGACGGUACCCAAGGAAUCAGCAUCGGCUAACUCCGCGCCAGCAGCCGC